AAUUCACUUGUUUUGAACUAACCUUUGAAAUUUGGAAAUCAAUUAGUGUUGCAAUCCAAGAGUAUAACAAAACAAGCGGAACGAGAAAUGGAGUUUCGAGCACCAAGAUAUAGUACCUCCAAGUUGCUGAAAAAGUUAAGACUGUUGGGCUAUUUUCCAGGUUUAAAACUAGAUUCGAAAUAUCAUUUGGUCAUCAAGUUGGCAUUAGAAAUACAUCAAACUUGGUACACUAAAUCUUCCAUGUGUGAACAACAUUUCUACUAAGUUUCGUACAAAAACUCUCACGGUAAGGUAGUCAUUAAAACAACCAAAGUUUAUGAAGAGUUUCACGGCUAAACUACCUUCUCACUUUUCUUUCGUUUACAAACUUUUUGUACCAUGAAAUCAGUUUCAAAUCUCUCCAUUAUUGAAACCAAGAGUUCAUAAACAUCCACUGAGCAAUUUAAAGACCAUUGACAUCCAAAUUCUAGAAAUAAAACUCUCCAAAUCAGAUUUGACCAUUUGGCUAAGAGAAAACGAAAAGUUUUCCAGAUUCGAUGAGCGAAUUUUGUGACAUCAUUUGCAUAUCAAAAUGGUCUUAGAAUAUUACCAAAUUUUGUACAAUUAAACCUCCAUAUGAGGAUUACUCUUCUAUCAAAUUUCAUUUGAAAAUUCACACGGGAAGGUAGUUAACUAAACCAUCAAAGUUCAGGAAAUUUCCCAAGGUAAAACUGUCUUCUAGCUCUUCUUUCCUUUUUAAAUAUUUUGUCCAAAGCAACCAACCCAAAUCUGGUUUAUUUGUAAAACAAAGUCCAAGGAACAUCUAAUCUAAAGUUUGGUAGGUGUUGGACAUCAAAUUUUCCAAAACAACAAGUCCCAAAUCAUUGUUAGUUACAAAUCUGUCCAAGUGGAAAAUUCUAUCACUGUAGCAGUUUCAAACUUUGGCCACAACUCACUCAAUUCAACUUGGAAUUGGACGUGGUUGAUGGCGUUGGAAAGCUCUCUUAUAAAGCUGAAUUUUCUCAGAAGAAACCAUUUUCAAAUUCCAUUCACAAAUAGCUCGUUUUUGAGCAUCAAGAAGCAAUUUCUGUCCUGUCUCCUGGAGAGCAACGAAACAGGACAGUGAUAUUCAAUCGAAUGGUGUGGCUCACUCAAGUGGAACCAGAACGUGAAUUUGGUACCAAUGGAAAGCUAGGAAUGUCUAGUUUCCAAUGCCGCAAACGGCACUUGAUUUCGACAUCGGAACAAAGAAGAUGACUGCUAUGGCAAUACGGGCCUCAAUAUUUUUUUUUUGAUUUGCUAACUUUCGAAAUCAAUUCAUUUGACCAACCAAAUCAUGUUAUUUUUCAAUGAAAUUUUGUACACACUUACAAUAAUAGAUAAACAACAUAAUAAAUUCAUUAGAAUCUCAAAAUCUGGCACGAAAACGGUCGGACAAGGCAGGGGUAAAACGGUCACUUUUGCUCCAAGCACCUCCUUUGAUUUUCUACCAACAAUACAACAUUAAUCUACUAAUAUAAGCACUAAACCACCAUUAAUUUCAUCAUCCAACAUCAAAUCAGCAACAACCCAAGAGUGGGAGUUCAUAGAGCCCACUUUCACAUUUUAUACCAUAAACAAGACUACCCACAUGAUUAUAUAACCUUAUAUGUGCAAUAAAUCUUACAAAAACUAAGAUCUAUGGGUUGGAUGAUUUGCUACCUUCUUGGAUGAUUAGAUCAGAAAUUUUGGUCACUCUUUGCUCCAGAAAACCGUGGCUUUUCAGCUCCCUUUUGCAGCUCAAAAUACUCCUCAAGUGUUAAGCUAAGUGUAGUUCGAAUUUGGAGUGAAUUGGAAGAGGUUUGGUGAAGAUUUGAUGGAGGAAUUGGAAGAACUCUUGAGCUGUUUUUCUUGCUUUGUUGUUCGGCCAGAUGAGGGAGCAAGAGAGAGAAAUUGUGGUCUGAAAUGAGGCUUCCAAAGGAAGCUUAAUGACUAAGGAUUGGGUGCACAAAAGUCAACCGCAAAAAGUGCGCGCACGCGCGCGUUUUGUGCUGGAUUCCUCUCGCGUUUGUUUCACUAGUGCACUAAACCUCUAAGGCACUUAUAUUCAUAUAAAUAUUAUUCACUCUUAAUUGUCCUCAAAUAAGGGUCUAAAGUUCCUCAAUUGAAAUCGCGCGUGUGAAAACGCGUAUCUCCAAUUUAAGCGCAAUAACGCGAAACUUCCGAGAAAUUCUUAUAACGAUAGUACUAAUAACUAUCACUUGAGUAUUUAAACAUUAAAAUGCCUAAUUUAGGUCCAUUGUACAUGUCUCUAAUAUUUCAAACCUAUUGUACUCUCAAUCGAUCAAGAUUUCCAAAGACGUGAUCACUAUUUUUACAAAACGAGCUUCCGAAAAUUAAUUUUUGAAACAAGUCAUUUUAAAAAUAUAAUGAAACUAUAUUUCCAUGUAAUUAGGUCUCAAGAGCUUAGAAAAUAAUAUUCGGAGUAAAAGACCAAAUAAAUAAUUAAAUAAGCUAGAAAUAGGAGAUUAAAUAAGUAAAUUUUGCGAGUCCUCACAACCUCCCAUCCUUAAAAGAAUUUCGUCCUCGAAAUUCAUACCUUCUGUAAUCUCAGACAACUCUGAACCGUGUGAUGUGUUCAUGUCAAGCGUUCUUUCAGAUGUCACUAGUCGGUUUCUCCUUCCAUUGACUUGUCGAGGGGCAGUUCCAUUUCCUUGUUGAGCAGUAGUUUCUCGUGGAUACCUCUUUGGACAGUCAUGAACUUUAUGAUUGGUGCUCCCACAUCCCAUACACUUUCGUCCCUUUAGCCAACAGUUUUCUUCAGUGUGAUUCGUCCUUCCACAAUAUCCACAAGUUGGACGAGGUGUUGUGACCUGACUUGCUUGCGAGGUUUUCUUUGAUCGUGUUUGUCCUACUGAAGUCCCUCGUGACAUAGUUCCUUUUGGUUCCUUUAUCAUGAGUGGUGCAGGAAGUGACAGUCCUACUUCAUCCACUUCUUUUCUAACUUUGGGCGGUGGUCCAUUUUUUCCUAGUGUACUGUCAGAUGUAUCUCUUUUCCUUUUUUGAAAAGCUCUCAGUUGAGAUUUUGUGCUUUCUACCCUUUGCGCUUUUUCAAGAGCGUCACUAAAUGUUUCAACCUGUGCUGCAGCAAGGGCAUCUUGGAUUUCCAAAUCUAAUCCUUGGAUAAACCGUCUUAUUCUCUUCCGUUCAGUAGCCACCAAUUCUGGGGCAUAUGUAGAUAACUUCGUAAAGCGUGUUUCAUACUCAGCUACGCUUAAAGUUCCUUGACGAAGCUUUAUAAAAUCAUCUUCUCUCUUUUCUUGGACAAGUGGAGGAAGAAAUUUCUCAUUAAAUUCACGCACGAAGUUUAUCCAAAUUCUCGGAGUUUGAUCUCUUUCCCACUUGUUUCUUAUAACAUUCCACCAGGCUCGGGCUGCUCCUUCAAGUUGAAAUACAGCAAAGGUGACUUGUCUCUCCUCUGUGUAAUCCAAGGCAUCGAAUAUAUUUCUUAUAUUCUCUAACCAAUUUUCAGCCACCUCUGGAUCAGGUCCUCCAGCAAACUUAGGUGGGGAAAAUUUCUGAAACCGCUCUAAAGCUCGAUCCUCCCCUAUCUCUUGGUUUCCACGUUGGUUCCCUUGUCCAACACCUUGACCUUGUUGAGCUACCAAGAGCUCUAGGAUAUCCGUCAUGCGAGUUAAAACUUGUCCUAUCUGGUCAUUUCCUCUCCCAGCACUUAGCUCAACGUUUUGAUCGAUAUCGGACCCAUUAGCUACUCUUUCAUUUCGGGGUUGUCUAGGUUGACGUCUCUUUCGUUGUCCUCUAGUUUCCAUGUUCACAACUAAUCUAUACGCACAUGCAUAACCCUCACACUUAGUUAAAAUUGAACUACACUCAUAUACCAGUAGCAACAUUUAAAGAGGAUGAAGACACUUUCACAAAUAACAUUAUCACUAUGCAAGUAAACACAAACUAGAGUUCAUUAAAUCAUAACACAAAUUAUGGCCAAGUAAAGUUCAUGCCAAGUCAAAGUCAAUAACAAAAAUAAACAAGUGAUUAUCACAAGUACAUUCAUCUCCAAGGCGCAAACUCUUAAGUUCUACUCCCAUCGUCUCACUAUGAAAGAUCACCAGUAGAGAUUCACUAGAUUAAUUGGAACUAGACGAUUCUCGUUCCCUAACAUGCUCGAUUUCAAUCCCAACACAAGGAUCUUUUGGGUUACGAUAUUUUCCAUCUUCCACUCUUAAUUAUUGUACCAUCUUAACCAAACAAUUAUUGGUUUCCUGUAACCAUUCACAUGAAAUAUCGAUUCAUUCUUAUUCCCCACAAAUGGAGAUAUAAAGUCCCUAUGGUUGCUUUCCACUCCCAAGUACUCGGGUUCAAGAAUCCAAAAUAGGAUAAUUCACAUCUCGAGCCGGCCGGUCCCAAGAGUAAAUCACCACAUUCGAGAUUCCUACCCAACAUACAUAUCAAAUUCCCUCCAAUCAUCAAGAUAAAGGUUUUACAACCUAUAACAUUCAUGAUUCACAACUUACAUUUCUAGAAGGGCACUUAAGUCUUUACUCAAUCACAUAGUAAGAACCAUAACACUACUUGGCCCUAUCUUGCUCCUUUGUAGAGACCACGUGAAGUGGCUCUAAAUUCAUCAUUACAAGCAAUCAUUUAACUUUCAGAAUAGUCCCACAGUCCGGCAUCCUAAACAUUUAAGCCUAGGAUACACUACAAAAUCUGAAGCCUAAGCUCUGAUACCAAUUGUGGCGCCCCCACUUCUCCCUAAGGCGAACCAAAGGGUAUCCGCGGGACGCCUGCCCAGCUCUCGCCAGGACUCACUACAAUCCAUCAUUCAAAAGCUCGAAAUACUUUAAGUAACUUCAAUACAUAAUUAAAGUACUCCAAAUAUCUCACACUUACAAUUAUGCAGCUUCCAAGCUUAAAUACAACCCAACGGAAAAGGGUACCAUAGCCAUCCGUUAUAAUAUAACUUAAAGUUUUCAAAAGAAAACAAUCUAGUACUACUCACGAGCACCCUUGGUCUCGAACCCUGUAAAAGAAAACCACAACGUGGGAUGAGCUACACAGCCCAGUGAGGUUCCAAGACACUCUAACAGUUCAAAUAAAUCAAGUAAGUUGGGCAUAUCAUAUGCAUGGUUCAAUGUUACACAAUGGCGUGUUAUCAUGAAGUGAUAAUCAUUGUACGAGUAAUUUGAGAUAUUUAUCAUGGUAUGAGACAUUUAUCAUGAGACAGGUAUCAUGAUAUAAGUACAUUGGUCAGGUAACAGGUAUGGAGCAUAUCACAGGCAUAGUUCAGGAUUUCAUGUUGACAUUUUAGCAUGAAACAAUUAUCAUGAUACAAGGUAAACAUAUACGGUAGGAUACGGUGUUCCAGUGGAACUCUGUCGGUCAUCUACACCUUAUGACUUCUGAUCCCCACGGUACGGUCUGGCCAUCGCCUUAUCCCUCCAGUGGUAAUACUCGAGUAUACCGAAACGGUGGCCCAGGGUUCCAACCUACCCGACCGAGCCCAGUCCUGACUCGAGUAGGUCAGUAACCAAGGGCAGGGCCCAAGUUCAGCUUAGAGCUUACAACAUGCACAAGUAACCAAGUAAUUCGACAAAAGGUAAAAUUCAUCAUUUGAGUAGGUCGAGUGAGGUAAAGUACACACUCGCCUAAUAAUGAUGGACAGCUUCAUAUAACAUGUGAUUCAUGAUAAUCAAGUAAUCAGGUGGUCAAGUAACCAAGUAAGUUGGUGAUCACGUAAGCAGAUAACCAAGUAAGCAAGUAACCAAAUAGAUUAGAAAACGGUAAGUAAACACGGUUAACGGUAAACGGUAAACGGUUAACGGUGGUAAUUACGGUUAAUUGGUAGACAUAUGUCAUUUCAAUAGGCCGCCAUUGGCCGUUUUUCACUUUCACCACGUAAGAGUCGAGGAGAUUCACUCCAACCGACUUAUGCUGUCAUAGCAUAAUUAAUCAUUUAAACACAUCAUGUAAAUAUGCUCUCCAAACAUUUCAUAUCUAGUAUUUCAAGUAAUCACAUAAGUAUGCUCUUUAAGCAUUUCAUAUCGAAUAGUUCAAGUAGUCACGUAAAUAUGCUCUUCAAGGGUUUCAUAUCGAAUAGUUCAAAUAUACAUACUUCACGUGUUUCAUGUCGAGUAAUUCAAGUAUACACUAUUCAAAUAUGCAUGAGUGUGGUAAAUACUUAACAUAUAGCACUUAACACCUAAUGACCAGGAGUUAAGCAUGUCAUAGACUUAUUCCAAUUACGUAUUCCUAUAUGGAACACUCACCUAUUGCAACAAGAGAGUAAAUACUCAAACAAGUGUCUAGGCGUCCACUUCGAGUUCCUCUUGAAGGUCCCCUUGAGCGCCUGAGCAAAUAACCAUUAACUAUUAUGCACUAUCACUUAGAACUCCUACUUAUCAAAGAAGGUUGUACAAUCUAAGGGGAAUUCAUAAAUUGGGCCUUAAUUAUUAAUAAUCGAGGCUCAAGAGUAGAGUUUGAAAGUCUAAAGAGAGAGACUAACAUUUUUCAUGAAAUCGAGUUCAAAAUGUUCAAUCGGUAUCGAGAAAAGAAGGCAAGUUUCCAAAAUCUCAUUUUCUAAGAAAUUGCCAAAUUUCAGCUUUGGGUGUCAAUUUUAGAAAAAUCGUAUCUUGCACUACGUAGGUCCAAAAUUGGAACGCUUGAUACCAUUGGAAACUACAUUCCGAGUAAUACAAGUUUCUAGAAGACACUUUUCCAUGAUCCCAAAUGGAAGGUAUUCAAAAGUUGGAUCAAAGUUACUGCUGUAGAAUACUAAGACAGUUUCAAGGUUGGUUUUUGGCCAAUUUUGGAAAUUCGGCAAAUUCACUUGUUUUGAACUAACCUUUGAAAUUUGGAAAUCAAUUAGUGUUGCAAUCCAAGAGUAUAACAAAACAAGCGGAACGAGAAAUGGAGUUUCGAGCACCAAGAUAUAGUACCUCCAAGUUGCUGAAAAAGUUAAGACUGUUGGGCUAUUUUCCAGGUUUAAAACUAGAUUCGAAAUAUCAUUUGGUCAUCAAGUUGGCAUUAGAAAUACAUCAAACUUGGUACACUAAAUCUUCCAUGUGUGAACAACAUUUCUACUAAGUUUCGUACAAAAACUCUCACGGUAAGGUAGUCAUUAAAACAACCAAAGUUUAUGAAGAGUUUCACGGCUAAACUACCUUCUCACUUUUCUUUCGUUUACAAACUUUUUGUACCA
rnacentral:lncRNA from 1 species